rnacentral:rRNA from 1 species
UGCAUUAAGCUAACUGAUACUAAUUGCCCGUACGGCUUGUCCCUAUAACCUUGACGGUUAUGACGCACUUACCGUGUUUGAGAACACUACCCCACUUUUACUUCUCCAGAUUGUUACCAAGUCAUGCUUGAUGACCAUAGCAAGUCAGUCCCACCCCUUCCCAUCCCGAACAGGACCGUGAAAUGACUCUGCGCCGAUGAUAGUGCUGCAACCAGUGUGAAAGUAGGUUAUCGUCAAGC